GACGAACGCUGGCGGCGUGCUUAACACAUGCAAGUCGAACGGAAAGGCCCUGCUUUUGUGGGGUGCUCGAGUGGCGAACGGGUGAGUAACACGUGAGUAACCUGCCCUUGACUUUGGGAUAACUUCAGGAAACUGGGGCUAAUAACGGAUAGGAGCUCCUGCUGCAUGGUGGGGGUUGGAAAGUUUCGGCGGUUGGGGAUGGACUCGCGGCUUAUCAGCUUGUUGGGGGGGUAGUGGCUUACCAAGGCAUUGACGGGUAGCCGGCCUGAGAGGGUGACCGGCCACAUUGGGACUGAGAUGCGGCCCAGACUCCUACGGGAGGCAGCAGUGGGGAAUAGUGCACAAUGGGCGGAAGCCUGAUGCAGCAACGCCGCGUGCGGGAUGACGGCCUUCGGUUUGUAAACCGCUUUCGCCUGUGACGAAGCGUGAGUGACGGUAAUGGGUAAAGAAGCACCGGCUAACUACGUG
rnacentral:rRNA from 1 species